UACGAAGGGUGCAAGCGUUACUCGGAAUUACUGGGCGUAAAGCGUGCGUAGGUGGUUUGUUAAGUCUGCUGUGAAAGCCCCGGGCUCAACCUGGGAAUGGCAGUGGAUACUGGCAAGCUAGAGUGCGGUAGAGGGGUGUGGAAUUCCCGGUGUAGCGGUGAAAUGCGUAGAGAUCGGGAGGAACACCAGUGGCGAAGGCGGCCCGCUGGGCAGUGGCUGACGCUGAGGCGCGACAGCGUGGGGAGCAAACAGG
rnacentral:rRNA from 1 species